rnacentral:rRNA from 1 species
AGUGAACGCUGGCGGUAGGCCUAACACAUGCAAGUCGAACGGCAGCACAGUAAGAGCUUGCUCUUACGGGUGGCGAGUGGCGGACGGGUGAGGAAUACAUCGGAAUCUACUUUUUCGUGGGGGAUAACGUAGGGAAACUUACGCUAAUACCGCAUACGACCUACGGGUGAAAGCAGGGGAUCUUCGGACCUUGCGCGAUUGAAUGAGCCGAUGUCGGAUUAGCUAGUUGGCGGGGUAAAGGCCCACCAAGGCGACGAUUCGUAGCUGGUCUGAGUGGAUGAUCGGCCACACUGGAACUGAGACACGGUCCAGACUCCUACGGGAGGCAGCAGUGGGGAAUAUUGGCCAAUGGGCGCAAGCCUGAUCCAGCCAUACCGCGUGGGUGAAGAAGGCCUUCGGGUUGUAAAGCCCUUUUGUUGGGAAAGAAAAGCAGCAGGUUAAUACCCCGCUGUUCUGACGGUACCCAAAGAAUAAGCACCGGCUAACUUCGUG